rnacentral:rRNA from 1 species
AGCUUGCUUCUUUGAUGACGAGUGGCGCACGGGUGCGUAACGCGUAUACAAUCUACCUCUUACAGGGGGAUAGCCUUUGGAAACGAAGAAUAAUACCCCAUAGUAUAUGGAUAUCGCAUGGUAACCAUAUUAAAGAUUUAUCGGUAAGAGAUGAGUAUGCGUCCUAUUAGCUAGAUGGUGUGGUAACGGCACACCAUGGCAACGAUAGGUAGGGGCCCUGAGAGGGGGAUCCCCCACACUGGUACUGAGACACGGACCAGACUCCUACGGGAGGCAGCAGUGAGGAAUAUUGGACAAUGGGCGCGAGCCUGAUCCAGCCAUGCCGCGUGCAGGAAGACUGCCCUAUGGGUUGUAAACUGCUUUUAUACGGGAAGAAACCCAUCUACGUGUAGAUGGCUGACGGUACCGUAAGAAUAAGGAUCGGCUAACUCCGUGCCAGCAGCCGCGGUAAUACGGAGGAUCCAAGCGUUAUCCGGAAUCAUUGGGUUUAAAGGGUCCGUAGGUGGACAAUUAAGUCAGAGGUGAAAUCCUGCAGCUUAACUGUAGAAUUGCCUUUGAUACUGGUUGUCUUGAAUUAUUGUGAAGUGGUUAGAAUAUGUAGUGUAGCGGUGAAAUGCAUAGAUAUUACAUAGAAUACCAAUUGCGAAGGCAGAUCACUAACAAUAUAUUGACACUGAUGGACGAAAGCGUGGGAGCGAACGGGAUUAGAUACCCCGGUAGUCCACGCCGUAAACGAUGGUCACUAGCUGUUCGGACUUCGGUCUGAGUGGCUAAGCGAAAGUGAUAAGUGACCCACCUGGGGAGUACGUUCGCAAGAAUGAAACUCAAAGGAAUUGACGGGGGCCCGCACAAGCGGUGGAGCAUGUGGUUUAAUUCGAUGAUACGCGAGGAACCUUACCAGGGCUUAAAUGUAGAUUGCAUUAGCUAG